rnacentral:piRNA from 1 species
UAGGUAGUACAACCACUGGGUGGGUGGUCC